rnacentral:rRNA from 1 species
GAUGAACGCUGACAGAAUGCUUAACACAUGCAAGUCAACUUGAAUUUGGGUUUUUAACUUAGGUUUGGGUGGCGGACGGGUGAGUAACGCGUAAAGAACUUGCCUCACAGCUAGGGACAACAUUUGGAAACGAAUGCUAAUACCUAAUAUUAUGAUAAUAGGGCAUCCUAUAAUUAUGAAAGCUAUAAGCGCUGUGAGAGAGCUUUGCGUCCCAUUAGCUAGUUGGAGAGGUAACGGCUCACCAAGGCGAUGAUGGGUAGCCGGCCUGAGAGGGUGAUCGGCCACAAGGGGACUGAGACACGGCCCUUACUCCUACGGGAGGCAGCAGUGGGGAAUAUUGGACAAUGGACCGAGAGUCUGAUCCAGCAAUUCUGUGUGCAUGAUGAAGUUUUUCGGAAUGUAAAGUGCUUUCAGUUGGGAAGAAACAAAUGACGGUACCAACAGAAGAAGUGACGGCUAAAUACGUG